GGUUAAGCGACUAAGCGUACACGGUGGAUGCCCUGGCAGUCAGAGGCGAUGAAGGACGUGCUAAUCUGCGAUAAGCGUCGGUAAGGUGAUAUGAACCGUUAUAACCGGCGAUUUCCGAAUGGGGAAACCCAGUGUGAUUCGUCACACUAUCAUUAACUGAAUCCAUAGGUUAAUGAGGCGAACCGGGGGAACUGAAACAUCUAAGUACCCCGAGGAAAAGAAAUCAACCGAGAUUCCCCCAGUAGCGGCGAGCGAACGGGGAGCAGCCCAGAGCCUGAAUCAGUGUGUGUGUUAGUGGAAGCGUCUGGAAAGGCGUGCGAUACAGGGUGACAGCCCCGUACACAAAAAUGCACAUACUGUGAGCUCGAUGAGUAGGGCGGGACACGUGGUAUCCUGUCUGAAUAUGGGGGGACCAUCCUCCAAGGCUAAAUACUCCUGACUGACCGAUAGUGAACCAGUACCGUGAGGGAAAGGCGAAAAGAACCCCGGCGAGGGGAGUGAAAAAGAACCUGAAACCGUGUACGUACAAGCAGUGGGAGCACGCUUAGGCGUGUGACUGCGUACCUUUUGUAUAAUGGGUCAGCGACUUAUAUUCUGUAGCAAGGUUAACCGAAUAGGGGAGCCGAAGGGAAACCGAGUCUUAACUGGGCGUUAAGUUGCAGGGUAUAGACCCGAAACCCGGUGAUCUAGCCAUGGGCAGGUUGAAGGUUGGGUAACACUAACUGGAGGACCGAACCGACUAAUGUUGAAAAAUUAGCGGAUGACUUGUGGCUGGGGGUGAAAGGCCAAUCAAACCGGGAGAUAGCUGGUUCUCCCCGAAAGCUAUUUAGGUAGCGCCUCGUGAAUUCAUCUCCGGGGGUAGAGCACUGUUUCGGCAAGGGGGUCAUCCCGACUUACCAACCCGAUGCAAACUGCGAAUACCGGAGAAUGUUAUCACGGGAGACACACGGCGGGUGCUAACGUCCGUCGUGAAGAGGGAAACAACCCAGACCGCCAGCUAAGGUCCCAAAGUCAUGGUUAAGUGGGAAACGAUGUGGGAAGGCCCAGACAGCCAGGAUGUUGGCUUAGAAGCAGCCAUCAUUUAAAGAAAGCGUAAUAGCUCACUGGUCGAGUCGGCCUGCGCGGAAGAUGUAACGGGGCUAAACCAUGCACCGAAGCUGCGGCAGCGACGCUUAUGCGUUGUUGGGUAGGGGAGCGUUCUGUAAGCCUGUGAAGGUGUGCUGUGAGGCAUGCUGGAGGUAUCAGAAGUGCGAAUGCUGACAUAAGUAACGAUAAAGCGGGUGAAAAGCCCGCUCGCCGGAAGACCAAGGGUUCCUGUCCAACGUUAAUCGGGGCAGGGUGAGUCGACCCCUAAGGCGAGGCCGAAAGGCGUAGUCGAUGGGAAACAGGUUAAUAUUCCUGUACUUGGUGUUACUGCGAAGGGGGGACGGAGAAGGCUAUGUUGGCCGGGCGACGGUUGUCCCGGUUUAAGCGUGUAGGCUGGUUUUCCAGGCAAAUCCGGAAAAUCAAGGCUGAGGCGUGAUGACGAGGCACUACGGUGCUGAAGCAACAAAUGCCCUGCUUCCAGGAAAAGCCUCUAAGCAUCAGGUAACAUCAAAUCGUACCCCAAACCGACACAGGUGGUCAGGUAGAGAAUACCAAGGCGCUUGAGAGAACUCGGGUGAAGGAACUAGGCAAAAUGGUGCCGUAACUUCGGGAGAAGGCACGCUGAUAUGUAGGUGAAGUCCCUCGCGGAUGGAGCUGAAAUCAGUCGAAGAUACCAGCUGGCUGCAACUGUUUAUUAAAAACACAGCACUGUGCAAACACGAAAGUGGACGUAUACGGUGUGACGCCUGCCCGGUGCCGGAAGGUUAAUUGAUGGGGUCAGCGCAAGCGAAGCUCUUGAUCGAAGCCCCGGUAAACGGCGGCCGUAACUAUAACGGUCCUAAGGUAGCGAAAUUCCUUGUCGGGUAAGUUCCGACCUGCACGAAUGGCGUAAUGAUGGCCAGGCUGUCUCCACCCGAGACUCAGUGAAAUUGAACUCGCUGUGAAGAUGCAGUGUACCCGCGGCAAGACGGAAAGACCCCGUGAACCUUUACUAUAGCUUGACACUGAACAUUGAGCCUUGAUGUGUAGGAUAGGUGGGAGGCUUUGAAGUGUGGACGCCAGUCUGCAUGGAGCCGACCUUGAAAUACCACCCUUUAAUGUUUGAUGUUCUAACGUUGACCCGUAAUCCGGGUUGCGGACAGUGUCUGGUGGGUAGUUUGACUGGGGCGGUCUCCUCCUAAAGAGUAACGGAGGAGCACGAAGGUUGGCUAAUCCUGGUCGGACAUCAGGAGGUUAGUGCAAUGGCAUAAGCCAGCUUGACUGCGAGCGUGACGGCGCGAGCAGGUGCGAAAGCAGGUCAUAGUGAUCCGGUGGUUCUGAAUGGAAGGGCCAUCGCUCAACGGAUAAAAGGUACUCCGGGGAUAACAGGCUGAUACCGCCCAAGAGUUCAUAUCGACGGCGGUGUUUGGCACCUCGAUGUCGGCUCAUCACAUCCUGGGGCUGAAGUAGGUCCCAAGGGUAUGGCUGUUCGCCAUUUAAAGUGGUACGCGAGCUGGGUUUAGAACGUCGUGAGACAGUUCGGUCCCUAUCUGCCGUGGGCGCUGGAGAACUGAGGGGGGCUGCUCCUAGUACGAGAGGACCGGAGUGGACGCAUCACUGGUGUUCGGGUUGUCAUGCCAAUGGCACUGCCCGGUAGCUAAAUGCGGAAGAGAUAAGUGCUGAAAGCAUCUAAGCACGAAACUUGCCCCGAGAUGAGUUCUCCCUGACUCCUUGAGAGUCCUGAAGGAACGUUGAAGACGACGACGUUGAUAGGCCGGGUGUGUAAGCGCAGCGAUGCGUUGAGCUAACCGGUACUAAUGAACCGUGAGGCUUAACCUU
rnacentral:rRNA from 1 species